rnacentral:rRNA from 1 species
AGUGAACGCUGGCGGUAGGCCUAACACAUGCAAGUCGAACGGCAGCACAGGAGAGCUUGCUCUCUGGGUGGCGAGUGGCGGACGGGUGAGGAAUACAUCGGAAUCUACUUUUUCGUGGGGGAUAACGUAGGGAAACUUACGCUAAUACCGCAUACGACCUACGGGUGAAAGCAGGGGAUCUUCGGACCUUGCGCGAUUGAAUGAGCCGAUGUCGGAUUAGCUAGUUGGCGGGGUAAAGGCCCACCAAGGCGACGAUCCGUAGCUGGUCUGAGAGGAUGAUCAGCCACACUGGAACUGAGACACCAUCCAGACUCCUACGGGAGGCAGCAGUGGGGAAUAUUGGACAAUGGGCGCAAGCCUGAUCCAGCCAUACCGCGUGGGUGAAGAAGGCCUUCGGGUUGUAAAGCCCUUUUGUUGGGAAAGAAAUCCAGCUGGUUAAUACCCGGUUGGGAUGACGGUACCCAAAGAAUAAGCACCGGCUAACUUCGUGCCAGCAGCCGCCGUAA